GUCCAGGGCCGACCCGGCCCCCAGCCUCACAAUGCGCGCAAAACCCGGGGCUCCCCUGCGCGCAGCGUCUGCUCGGCCCCCCAGCUCCUCCCCAGGAUGAAAACACUAAGGGCUCAAGGAUGAAGUAACACUAACAGAAAGUUGACAAGGCAGAAUUCAGACUAAAAUAUGAGGAAGCUGAGUCCAGAAGAACUGGGUGAUUUCACCAAGGUCACGCAACUAGUAUGUGGCUGAGCUGAAGUGCAAAUUCAUUCAGGUCUUCUAAUUCCAAACCCCAUGUUCUCUCAGCUGCAUCAGAAAUCUGGCCAUUUGGCAAUAACAAAGCAGGAACAAAGCUGGUAUUUAUUUAGUGCUCUGCUAUGUGCCAGUCUCUUUGAAAACAUUAUCUCUUGAGGUCGGUGCUACUAUUCUCUACUUUACAUUUCUGAGAAACUAAAAAUCAUUGGGGACUGGUUACUUUCCAAGUUCACACAGUGAGUACUUUGCAGAAGUAGCAUUUGAACCAGGACUGGCUGAUGUAGAGGUUAUAUUAUUAAACCCUCUGCUCAAGUGCCCUUUGAGAUGCUUUUUGAAAAUGUCUAUAAGAUAAAAAUAUUCUGGGGGACAUAGUUGUUGAGAUCUUAGUCAGAAAUGGAUUUCUUGCCCUUUAAAAGCAUUAGUAUCCUACAAUGUACUUCACUGAAAAUUCUAUUUUUUAGGCACUGCAGAUGGAGGACAGAUGUUUCUUUAUACUCUGAAAGGUCCACUCUAUGUAGCUGACCAUAAGAGAUUGUAUCUUAUUCUGAAUGUUUCAUGAAAGUGGCAUCAGGCAGAUCAUUCCAAAUGAAAGCCAAAUCAAAGCAGUUAUUGCAUAGAUUUGAUGAAAACAACAGGAUGUUAUUCAGUGGUUUGGGUGGGAACUUUGCAUUUCAGAGUGCACUCUGAACCACAUGGAUGUUUUCGGAUGCAUUCUACCCUAAAAUUCUGCCCAUCGUCAGAGAAUUGCAUGUAUGUCUGGUUGGAACUGAUGUGGUGAGGGGAGGGUGUACAGGUUUGGAGACCCCAACGCUGAACUUUGACUUAAGUAUCACUCUUCAGAUAAAAAGUUACUUUCCGUAAGUUCAAAAGUUAUGCUCGAAAGCCUGAACAUAUUUUAAAUGUCCAUUUGGGAACAGUGUUAGGACCAUUAAGAUAAUAUUUCACAACUUUUUUGGUGUGUUCUGGAGUCAUGAUCAUAUACUUUGAAAAGGUUUUUCAGAGUCCAGAACACCAGUAAUCUUUACCAUUUAACCAAACUGAUUUCUGAGUUAGGAAGUCUGCUUGUAUUCUUCAGAGAAUCAUAGUUUCUCAGUGCCUAGAAUUGGUCACCCAUUCACCUGACUCAGUGCUCUUGGCCUGAAUGAAGAAGAAACUGUGUCCCAGCAAGGGUAAAUGACAUUCUGGAGUCAAACUUAAGACAGCAGAGAGAAUAUUCCCUGAAGACCUAAAGUAUCCUAGUGCAAGGGGGUGUUUGCAGAUUGGCUGAGUUUUUACUUAGCAUCCAAGAAUACAAACUCUGAGAUCACAGCUGGAUUUCAAACCAGAUUGCUUGGCUCACUAGGAAUGUGUAUUUUGGCAAAAUAGUCAACAUUCUCAAGUCUCAGUUUCCUCAUCUGCAGAAUGGAUGUAAGAUUUUCUUCCUUUAACCUCAUGACAUUCAUUAUACCCUCAAAUAAUGUGCCCAAAGUUCUACUUCAUGCUGUUUCCUUGCCCACAAUCUUCAAUGACUUAUUGUUUUAAUACCAUUUACAAAAAUAUCCACUAGUAAUUUCUGGCACAUGCACUUACCCUUCAGCAUUCUGGCUGACCCCUUGGCCUCAGGACUAACUGUGCCAGUGGCUGACUUUCUGCCUUUGAUUCAUUCUGCACCUAUAAAAUGCCAGAAAAUAUACAAGUUGAAGGGGAUGAAAAGAUGAAAAAGAUUUGAUUUCUGUCCUCAAAUUAGUGAGCAGGCAUUCUAUAAAUAACCCGACCACAUUGUUAAAAGGUUAGCGAUAAAAGUACCUCACUCACAUCUGGUGAGAGGAAGGUGGUCGGAAAAGGCAGUAGAGACAAAACAAUUCAUCUAAGUCUUGGAGAAUGAACUGAAGUUGUAUCUUCCAUGUGUGUGGAAGCAGGGGACUUCUGACGGAGGGGACAGGGUGGGCAAAGUGUGGCAUUUGGGAAGGCCUGGCAGAGAAAAUAGCGUGAAGUUCCAUACGGAGAGUCUGCAGGAAUGCUCGGGGAAGCCCGGCACUGCCCAGGGGAUUUGGACUCUGGCCAAAAGCAAAUCACUGGGGUCAGGAGGGCAUAUUUCCAGUGAGUCACAUGUAAUAACUGUGUAUGCCAAGGUUACAUUCUCAAGGUACUGAGUCUGGGGGCAUCUUUCAUACCCGGGGGGAGAGCGUAAAAGAUUAACACAGUGACAUUCCUGCCACAGACAUCAUGGGGCAUUGGAUUUCCAUUUUUCAAGCUGCUUCUGUCUCAUUAUGGGAAGCAAGACCUCUUCCUUUGAAUCACAUGGCUGGGCCGUGGAGGCCAGACAAU